CCUACGGGAGGCAGCAGUGGGGAAUCUUGCGCAAUGGGCGAAAGCCUGACGCAGCAACGCCGCGUGGGUGAUGGAGGCUUUCGGGCCGUAAAGCCCUGUCGGAUGGAAAGAAACGGCUGGAUGUUAAUACCAUUCAGUCUUGACGGUACCAUCAAAGGAAGUCACGGCUAACUCUGUGCCAGCAGCCGCGGUAAU
rnacentral:rRNA from 1 species